UUGUGUAAUUACCGGAAACAUCGUUCUGGUAGUUUUAUGGUAAUUUACCAGGAUUACAGUGUGAAAGGGUUUACAUGUUCAAGGAAUUUAGUUAUCAGGUGAGAUCGCGAGAGUUUGCUCAUACGAUUAAAUGCCAUCACUGAGGAAACAUCGCAUCAUCUCUUGUGAUUGAUUCUCCCUGUUUAUCCUCAGGUAUCGGAUCACUAAAGUGAUUAUAAAGUAUUUCGAAAACGAGUAUGAAUGUUAAGAACAUGUGUAUGUAAUAGUAGAAAAAGACUAAAAGUUUUACUAAGUGUGUUAGUGCGUGUUUAUGCGCGGAGCACAUGGUCGUUGGGCUGCGUAACGUUAAUGUGAUUUUCGCCAUGUGGAAAAACUAAUUGGCCUAACGUUAUAUAUAUAUAUGUGUGUAUCAGGGGCGUUUCCUCCGAGGAGGCAAGAGAGGCAGUGCCUCCUCAAAAAAAAUAGGAUGAGAAAUUAAUCCAUAUUACAUAUAAAACAACACAAAUAUUACAAAUUAUGACAUUAAAAAGAGCGCAAGUCACUCGUAUUUCUAAAGGAACACUGCCCAACAGCGACACCUGCAGGUAAAGUUACAGCAGGAGUCAUGCCUCCCUUUCUGCUCAUAGAAAACCAUCAGACCCCCUAUAUGUUUUAUUCACUGAUGGUGAAAAGAAUGAGAAAUGUUUAGAGAAUUUUUUGCGUAUAGUUAUAAGUUAAUAUAUUCGCAACAAAAAGUAAAAAAAAAAAUAUAUAUAUAUAUAUUAUUACUGUGACCAACCUGUAUGUGAAUAUGAGUUAUGUGUGUUUAACAUGAAAAUCAUAUGAGUAAACGCGAUCACUGAGGAAACAUCGCAUCAUCUCUUGUGAUUAAUUCUCCCUGUUUAUUCUCAGGUGUGACAUAUAAAUAUAAACAAUUUUAGGAAGAAUAAAAAUAGACACAUUAACUACAUUAGUGCAAGAUGUGCAAAUGUAACAGACGUAGGCCAGUAAAAGUUGUGCAUGUAAACCUCACUUCCCUGAUCUCAAGAGGCGCUUUAGCGACUGACACUACAGACUGCGGUCUUUAGCCUCCUUGUUAGAGCGCCCGACUCCCUGGGUUUGAGUCCCGCUUAGAGCGGUUCAAACAGGAGGGGUUACACUGGUGCUGUGACUCGUCGCAUCGCGAUAAUCCGCAGAUUGCUGCGUGGUUGCAUGAAAGUCUUAAUGAAAGCCGUAGCUGCUGACCAAAGCUGAACAACGGAAGACAGACGAACCACAGUGAGGAGAAGAUGCUAAGUCCCUUUGUAUAUAAAGUCUUUGGAAGAUGUGGGUGUCUCUGUCAGGUAUGAAUAUUUUAUAAAAAAUUCUUUACCAUAAAUAGUGCCUAGAAAAAGUGAUUUAGGUUUCCAGAGUUUUUUUAUUUUUUAUUUCAAGUUAUUGAUUUAUUUUGGUCUUUCGCUAUGCUGAUCUGUUACAUUUAGGCUACGUUUUCUUUCUCUAGUAUUUUUCCAUUCUAGUCAGUUAUGCUAACUCAUGUUUCACAAGCAUGUGGAAAUGUAAGGACUGUGAAAUAACAGUGUCAACUAGAUUGCAGUUGUUGAAGCACUAUAGAUUAGCGCAUGGCCAUUUUGGCCGCAGUUAUCGUUUCACAUGCACUUAUUAUAACAUGGAAUGCACUACAGACAGUCAUCUUAAUCGUUCACAUGCUAAGGAGACUGCUGCUUACAAUGUUCUUGUUUAGUUAUUCAUGCCCAUGUGGAGGUAGCCUAAAUGCUUUUUUUCUUCAGAUGUCACUGAAUAACUCUCAAUGUAAUUGUAAAAAUGAAAGAUAUCCUUAUUGUUGUGUUAUGUCUCUUAAAUCUCUAGAUUGCUGCUGAGUUUACUCGAAAAUCCACCAUCCCACUGAUUCAGACUGAAAAUGGAUGGUUACAGAAGCAAACUGGCCAGCAUCUACUAAAAAAAAAGAAGUUGCAGAACGAAACAUUUAUAAACUUUGACAAGAGCAAUAACAUCUCAACUUGGAGAGCUUGCAUUCUCAGAUCACUUUCUGUGAAGACUGUGAAAACCUCAUGAAGGAGUAUGCAGGAUGCAAACUCAUCAGGGGUGAAAAAGAUGACAAAAUCACAAGACCCCAACAUAUUUGACAGGCACUUGAAGUGAUGAAUUCAACCGCUGAACCAAAGCAAUCACACAAGAGACUCAACAAGAUCUGCAAUAAAAACAUAUUUUGUGUUAAAAACCACAAGCCGAAACUAUGAGACUUAUAUCACAGGGUUACAUCACAAAAUUAUAGUUCAAUUUUUUCUACUUACUAUCAUAGGCCCCGUCCACACGGAGACGAGUUCAGCUGUAUACGCAAAAAUUUUAUAUCGUAUAGCUGUUUCGUCCAGACAGAUCCAGCGUUCUCAGAAUUUCUGAAACCGGGUCCCAGAGUGGAUAAAUCUGAAAAUGACGCCCUUUUGCGUUUUCAUGUGUACAGCCAAUCCGUAUAUUUUGUGAAACGAUGAUGUAAUCACCCCACGUGUUGACCCUAGUCAAACACCGCUAACAGCACAAAACAGCAACAACAACAACAACAGCGGACUACAUGCUUGUGUUCGUGCUGCAGAAGCUACCGAGCCUAGUAGCUUAACUAAAAUAAAGAUUUAUUUCUAAGCUUUAAUAAAGUUUGUAUACAGCGCGCAAGUUUUAUGCGCAUGCUCCAAGUCUUAUUCUUUGUUUUUAGUGUAUCAC